rnacentral:rRNA from 1 species
UACGGAGGGGGCUAGCGUUGUUCGGAAUUACUGGGCGUAAAGCGCACGUAGGCGGCGCGACAAGUCAGAGGUGAAAGGCCUGGGCUCAACCUGGGAACUGCCUUUGAUACUGGCGUGCUGGAGUACGGGAGAGGGUGACGGAAUUCCCAGUGUAGAGGUGAAAUUCGUAGAUAUUGGGAAGAACACCGGUGGCGAAGGCGGUCACCUGGCCCGGAACUGACGCUGAGGUGCGAAAGCGUGGGGAGCAAACAGG